rnacentral:lncRNA from 1 species
UAAGCAUCAACCACAGCCGGAGGAUCAAGAGGCGACACAUCCUAGCAUCGGUCGACCUUAUAGGGGGGGUUCACCUGACACCACUUGUCAGCUCCACCGCCUCAACACUACAUGUCCCCUCUUGUAUACUAUAAAUAGAGGGCAUUUAGCUCCGUUGUAAUCAUCAAGUAAUAAAGUCAAUAGAAGAAUCACUUGGAAUCCGCUCUUUACUAGUUAGUGGGAGUUAGAAUGAGUUGAGCUCCGCUAAGAGUCUAGAGCAAUCUUCAGGAUUCUAUGGUAUAACUCUUGUAUCUCUUUGUAAGACUUUAUUCAUUUUAGUAUAUAUUACUUUCUAUUGAAGUACUACUUCAAGUCUUGUUACUUUGAGUACUGGUCU